AGAGUUUGAUCCUGGCUCAGGACGAACGCUGGCGGUAUGCUUAACACAUGCAAGUCGAACGAGACAAAAGAGAAGUGCUUGCACGGAUCUUUUAGAAAGUGGCGAACGGGUGAGUAACGCGUGGGUAACCUACCCUAUGGAAAGGAAUAGCCUCGGGAAACUGGGAGUAAUGCCUUAUAAGAUAUAUUUGUCGCAUGGCAGAUGUAUUAAACGCUCCGGUGCCAUAGGAUGGACCCGCGUCCCAUUAGCUAGUUGGUGAGAUAACAGCUCACCAAGGCGACGAUGGGUAACCGGUCUGAGAGGGCGAACGGUCACACUGGAACUGAGACACGGUCCAGACUCCUACGGGAGGCAGCAGUGGGGAAUAUUGCGCAAUGGGGGAAACCCUGACGCAGCAAUACCGCGUGAGUGAAGAAGGUUUUCGGAUCGUAAAGCUCUGUUAUUGGGGAAGAAAAAAAGACGGUACCCAAGAAGAUAGUCCCGGCUAACUACGUGCCAGCAGCCGCGGUAAUACGUAGGGGACAAGCGUUGUCCGGAUCUGCUGGUCGUAGGGG
rnacentral:rRNA from 1 species